AAUGGGCGAAAGCCUGACGGAGCAACGCCGCGUGAGGGUUGAAGGCCUCUGGGCUGUAAACCUCUUUUAUCAAGGAAGAAGAUCUGACGGUACUUGAUGAAUAAGCCACGGCUAAUUCCGUGCCAGCAGCCGCGGUAAUACGGGAGUGGCAAGCGUUAUCCGGAAUUAUUGGGCGUAAAGCGUCCGCAGGCGGCCCUUCAAGUCUGCUGUUAAAAAGUGGAGCUUAACUCCAUCAUGGCAGUGGAAACUGUUGGGCUUGAGUGUGGUAGGGGCAGAGGGAAUUCCCGGUGUAGCGGUGAAAUGCGUAGAUAUCGGGAAGAACACCAGUGGCGAAGGCGCUCUGCUGGGCCAUCACUGACGCUCAUGGACGAAAGCCAGGGGAGCGAAAGGGAUU
rnacentral:rRNA from 1 species